rnacentral:misc_RNA from 1 species
UUUCCGUAGGUGAACCUGCGGAAGGAUCAUUACUGAGUGAGGGCCCCUCUGGGUCCAACCUCCCACCCGUGUUUAACGAACCUUGUUGCUUCGGCGGGCCCGCCUCACGGCCGCCGGGGGGCAUCUGCCCCCGGGCCCGCGCCCGCCGAAGCCACCUGUGAACGCUGUCUGAAGUAUGCAGUCUGAGACAAUUAUUAAAUUAAUUAAAACUUUCAACAACGGAUCUCUUGGUUCCG